rnacentral:rRNA from 1 species
GACGAACGCUGGCGGCGUGCUUAACACAUGCAAGUCGAACGGAAAGGCCCUGCUUUUGUUGGUUGCUCGAUUGGCGAACGGGUGAGUGACACGUGAGUAACCUGCCCUUGACUUUGGGAUAACUUCAGGAAACUGGGGCUAAUACCGGAUAGGAGCUCCUGCUGCGUGGUGGUGGUUGGAAAGUUUCGGCUGUGGUGGGUUGACUCGCGGGUUAACAGCUUUUUGGUGUGGUAGGGCGUUUCCAAGCUUUCCACGGGUACCCGGCCUGAGAGGGUGACCGGCCACAUUGGGACUGAGAGAAGGCCGAGACACGUACGGGACGCAGCAGUCGGGAACAUUGCACAGUGGGCGGAAGCGUGAUACAGCAACGCCGGGUGCGGGAUGACGGCCUUCGGGUUGUAAACAGCUUUCGACUGUGACGAAGCGUGAGUGACGGUAACUAGUAAAGAAGCAACGGCUAACUACGUG